rnacentral:rRNA from 6 species
CCUUGAGAGUCCUGAAGGAACGUUGAAGACGACGACGUUGAUAGGCCGGGUGUGUAAGCGCAGCGAUGCGUUGAGCUAACCGGUACUAAUGAACCGUGAGGCUUAACCUUACAACGCCGAAGCUGUU